GCACCUGGAGGAGACUUGCCAGGCUCCUGGGAUGCUUUCAUGAUGCCCAGCAUCUUGCUGUGUGGGCUUUAGUGGGGUGACCUGGACUGGCAGGAAAGCCUUUGCCUGGGGUCUAGGAAACGGAAUGUUGCUUGUAGCACUGCCUGAGUACUCCUGGCCUUGGGAAGGUCAGACUGUUCUGCUCCCUGUUCUUGCAGCUCUUCUCUUCACCACCUCCUUCUAGCCAAAACAGCGCCUCUCUUUCCACGGCUUCCCCACUUUCCCAGCCUGUGACUCUGGAGAGCUGAGUGCAGCUGGCCACCACCAGCCUGCAGGAGACCUGCUGGCAUUGCUCUGAAGGAGCUACUGAACUGUGUUUCUUUGGGGAAGAACCUCCCUCAGAUGCCUUAAUAGAGUGGCAGUGUUUCUUUUCUCCCUGGGCAAAGAGGAAGAGGAGAAGGAGAAGGCAGGGCAAGGCAACAGCUUUUGCUCCUCUCUGUGGUUCUCUGGCCAGGAGACUUCUGCCGAUGCAGUAGGGGAAAGUGUCUUUGACUCAGGCUCCUGUUCACCAUGACGCAUUUCAGCCCUGCUGCAGCCUGCUCUGACCACUCGCC